CUGAGUUUUAAACCAGGCUCAGGAUCCUGAUUUAUGCUUUCAGUUGAGAAUAAUUGGCCAAGAAGAAUAUGAUUUUGGAUAGGUAGUCCUGAGGCUUUGACGGAAGAACAGGACAGUGGGCAGCAUACGGUGAGCACAUGUUACAUUAUAUGUCACAAUAUGGCAUGGAAGCCGCAGCUUGGCUUUCUCGACAGUCUGGUGGCAAAGAAGCUGUCCUCAGAUGACUGUAUGAGGAAGGAUGCAACCCAGUCCAUGGUGCUCUCAGCCCAGGGACAGGAGACUGACACACUCACAGCACAGCCCAUUGUGUUCUCAGCUCAUGAACAGACUGCUCCUCCUGAACUCCCUUAGGAAAAAAACAACAACAACAACACAAGAAUCCAGCCUUUUCUUCUGUUUCUGCCAGCCUCUGUCUAGGAGAAACAUUUGUCACCACUCAGCUGGACUCUUGACAAUGUGCCCCCUUCCAGUCUCUCUGCUCCUGCUCUGAGUCCCCAGUCCUAGCAGAGUAUCAUCUGGGUACCACAACUUCAGCAUCACCCGCUCCAAGGGGAGUUGAACCAGAACCUGCCAGGAGCUCAUGGACCUCUGAAAAGCCCAGCA